rnacentral:misc_RNA from 1 species
UGUCCGUAGGUGAACCUGCGGAAGGAUCAUUAUUGUAUAACCGAGGUGCGAGGGCUGUCGCUGACCCGAAAGGUCGUGCACGCCCGAGUGCCCUCACCCACAUCUAUCUCACCCCUAUUUGCAAUACCGCGUGGGUCCCCCUUUAGCUAGUUCGGAGGGGUGCUUACGUUUUGACACAAACUUUGUAUGCAGUGUAGAAUGUAUUUUUUGUUUUUGCGAUCACGCAAUCAAUACAACUUUCAACAACGGAUCUCUUGGCUCUG